ACUGGGUUAAAAGAUGUGUGAUAUGUGCCCAACACAAUAUUGCACCUACUGUACAAUGCCUACUCCUGCCCGACAGCAACCCCUGCUGGAUGGACCAUUUACAUCAUUACAGGUAGACUUUAUAGGGCCACCCCCUUCGAAGCAGGGGAAAGACUCAUGUAUUGGUGGUGGUGGACAGAUUCUCCAGAUGGACAGAAUUAUUUGCAACUUCCUCAGCUUCAGCAAACUUUGUAGCACAAACUUUGUUAAGGGAUUAUUCCGGACAUUAGAUUAUGAUCAAGGGACACAUUUCACCUCCAAAGUGCCACCGGCGGUGUGUAAAGCUUUGGGAAUUGCCCAUACUAUAAUUUUCAUUGUCCAUAUAGUCCGCAAGCGGCGGGGAUUACGGAGCGUCAGAAUCGUUCAAUUAAAGAAAAAUUGUUCAAGACGUUGAGCACCGAAGGGAAAGACUGGGUUACGAAUUUACCCGUGGUAUUGAUGUCAAUGAAGGCGUCAACUAACACCCCUACUGGACUCACGCCGCAUGAAGUGGUAACAGGGAAACCGAUGAGAGUACCAGGAGCUGUUAUUCACGUCACAAAUUAGUGAUCUGGCAAUAAUGGGAGAGUCUAUGUUGUCCUAUUAUCAGAAAAUUACCCAUGCAUUGCAGUGUGUAUAUUCCCAGGUGAAAGCAGCACGAGGAGCAGUUGCCAGGAGAUAACUGAGAGCACGGGCUGAAUCCUGGAGACCGAGUGUACAUCAAGAUCACCAGGCAGGGGUGUUGGGACGGCGUUGGUCUGGACAGCACACAAUACUCCUUACAGCACCUGCAGCAGCAAAGACCACAGCCUCUCCUCGUUGGGUUCACACUUCUCAUGUGAAACGAGAUCCAGCUGCAAAUGGGUGAGCUGGAAGCCACCAUGACAGAGGAAGAGGAGCUAAAGAGAGCGAGGGAGACUAGAUUCCACUGUAAACAAGCAGUUGGGUGGGUUCUGGGAGCUACUUUAACAGCCAUAGUCUUUGUUCCACCUGGCCGUGCUGCUGCUCCAGUUUCAACUGUUCUGCCUGCGGCUAUGGAACCCUGACCUGUUCACCGGACGUGCUACCUGUCCCAGACAUGCUGUUUUCAACUCUCUUAGAGACAGCAGGAGCGGUAGAGAUACUCUUAAUGAUCGGCUAUGAAAAGCCAACUGAUAUUUACUCCUGAGGUGCUGACUUGUUGCACCCUCCCACAACGUCUGUGAUUAUUAUUAUUUGACCAUGCUGAUCAUUUAUGAACAUUUGAACAUCUUGGCCAUGUUCUGGCACAGCCAGAAGAGGACUGGCCACCCCUCAUAGCCUGGUUCCUCUCUAGGUUUCUUUCCAGGUUUUGGUCUUUCUAGGGAGUUUUUCCUAGCCACCGUGCUUCUACACCUGCAUUGCUUGCUGUUUGGGGUUUUAGGCGGGGUUUCUGUACAGCACUUUGAUAUAUCAGCUUACGUAAGAAGGGCUAUAUAAAUCAAUUUGAUUUGAUUUAACCAGGUAGGCCAGUUCUCAUUUACAACUACGACCUGGCCAAGAUAAAGCAAAGCAGUGUGACACAAAAAACAACACAGAGUUACACAUGGAAUAAACAAACAGUACAGUCAAUAAGACAAUAGAAAAAGUCUAUAUACAGUGUGUGCAAAUGGCGAAAGGAGGUAAGGUAAUAAAUAGGCCAUAGUAGCGGAGUAAUUACAAUUUUAAAAAUUAACACUGUAGUGAUAGUUGUGCAGAUGAUGAUGUGCAAGUAGAAAAAGAGUAAAAAAAGUUAAUAAAAACAAUAUGGGGAUGAGGUAGGUAGUUGGAUGGGCUAUUUACAGAUGGGCUGUGUACAGUUGCAGCGAUCAGUAAGCUGCUCAGAUAGCUGAUGUUUACAGUUAGUGAGGGAAAUAUAAGUCUCUAACUUCAGAAAUUUUUGCAAUUUGUUCCAGCCAUUGGCAGCAGAGAACUGGAAAGAAAGGCGGCCAAAGUAGGUGUUGGCUUUGGGGAUGACCAGUGAGAUAUAUCUGCUGGAGCGCGUGCUACGGGUGGGUGUUGUUAUGGCGACCAGUGAGCUGAGAAAAGGCAGAGCUUUACCUAGCAAAGACUUAUAGAUGACCUGGAGCCAGUGGGUCUGGCGACGAAUAUGUAGCAAGGGCCAGCCAACGAGGUCACGGUGGUGGGUGAUAUAUGGGGCUUUGGUGACAAAACGGAUGGCACUGUGAUAGACUGCAUCCAGUUUGCUGAGUGGAGUGUUGGUGGCUAUUUUGUAAAUAACAUCGCCGAAGUUGAGUAACGGUAGGAUAGUCAGUUUUACGAGGGUAUGUUUGGCAGCUUGAGUAAAGAAGGCUUUGUUGCGAAAUAGGAAGCCUAUUCUAGAUUUAAUUUUGGAUUGGAGAUGUUUAAUAUGAGUCUGGUAGGAGAGUUUACAGUCUAGCCAGACACCUAAGUAUUUGUAGUUGUCCACAUAUUCUAAGUCAGAACUGUCCAGAGUAGUGAUGCUAGUCGGGCGGGCGGGUAUGAGUUGGGAGACAGGUAGGGAGUAUCUGAAAGGUUCAGUCCUAGAUCUAUCAGUGAACCACGAAGACAAUAGGAGACCAGGAGACAGAUUCCAUGCAAUAGCUAUUUUCACUGAAGUCGCAGUAGGGAAAGGGGGAUACCUAGUCAGUUUUACAACUGAAUGCAUUCAACUGAAAUGUAUCUUCCUCAUUUAACCCAACCCCUCUGAAUCAGAGAGUUGUGGGGGGCUGCCAUAAUCGACAUCCAUGUCUGACAGUAACUGAAGGAGAGGUAGUAGUGGUGAAGGAUGCUAUAGUAACAGCAUGGAACUGGACUACUUGCAAAUGAUGGGUAUUGUGAAGUAUGCAUCAUGGGCAGUGUUAGUAGUAGCAGGGGUUAUCUUGGUAGUGUCAUGCCCUGACCUUAGAGAGCUGUUUUAUUCUCUAUUUGGUUAGGUCAGGGUGUGAUUUGGGGUGGGCAUUCUAUGUUGUCUAUUUCUUUGUUUUGACCGAGUAUGGUUCCCAAUCAGAGGCAGCUGUCUAUCGUUGUCUCUGAUUGGGAAUCAUACUUAGGCAGCCUUUUUCCCACCUGUGUUUGUGGGUAGUUAUUUUCUGUUUAGUCUCUGUUACCUGACAGAACUGUUCACUUUCGUUUUGUUACUUUGUUCAAGUGUUUUUUGAUAAUAAAAAAAUCAUGAACACUUUUCACGCUGCGCUUUGGUCCACUCCUUCCGACGACAGGCGUUACAGGUAGCACUGUUGGGAUAUCAUCUUCUGAGGGCAGUGUUAGUAGUAGCAGGGGUUACCUUGGUAGCACUGUUGGGAUAUCAUCUUCUGAGGGCGUUGAUGUGAAACGUAUAUACAGUGUUGAGUUACCUCAAGAUGAUGUAAAGUUGAUUAAAGCCACCGCACGUGUAUAUUGAGUGGCUAUAGAGGAAGAAGGAGAUGGGGGAACAUAGUGAAAAUGACAUGGCUUGGAAACACCUCUUGGAACCUGUGGCCUGACAGGGGGAAUACUGGGUGAAAGAAUGAGGAGGUUUUUUAGGGCCUUCAUGUUUGUGGAACCCAGCAGAAAAGUAUCCCGAAGACAUAGUCAAGCGAAGAGAGAGUGAGAAUCGUCAUGUUAUCAAACUUUUUUCGUUGCAUAUAUAAUUGUGCAUAACUUAACACAUUAUUAAUACUCGUUAUGUUUUGUAUUUCUUUUUGGUUUUCAAGUUUUGUGCUUUCAAUCUCUCCUCUAUGGAGGAAAUGGAGGAAGUCUAAAGCUCCAGCUGAAAGGUCAUUCAUUAUCAGUUGUCCGACGAGAGAUGGAAAUAAGAGUGUGCAUAGUGUGAUGGUGUAAACCUAAUUAUCAACUGUGAAUUGUUUUAUUCUUUGUUCAUUUAUAAGUAAUUUCAAAGUUAAUGUGAUGUUGAACAAUAUGGAAUUACUAUUCAAAUAGGAGGGAGUGUUGGAUUGUAAUUUGAAAGACUUGCUACACCAGAAGUUAAUGCUUAUCUGUAGGAGGAAUGUAAUAUGGUGGGAUCAAUUAAGGGUGUAUAUGAGCCAUGGGUGUGGAGAGUUACUAAGUAAGGGAAAAGGCAAUCACAUGGUUGCGGUCACUGAUAAGGGUGGAUAGCCAUGGAUUAGUGAGGAAUGUGGGCUGAGGUCAGGUCAGAUCACAUGAAGGGAGAAGGAACAGUUUAUGACCCACUUCACUUAACCUCCUGCCUAGCGACAAAGAUGUAGUGUUUAGCGGUGCGAGGAGGAGACUCCGCCUAAAGGGGGGUAUAAAUACUUGUUCUGGUGGAAACAUGUCUUUGUCUUUUCAGCUGUUUGACCCAUUGGGUUAAUAAACUUGGUUUGAGCUUUU